UACCGCCGGAGCUCGCCGGAGCUAGCUGAGGUGGCCAACGACAAAGGGAAAGCAACCCUAGUUGCUGCCCUAAUUUCCAGCAGCCACACAAAACCCUUAGAAGAUCCGAGCUCGAGUGGAGCACGGUGACCUGCCGAUACUCGGAGAUUUUUGCUGUAUAUAAGUUUUGCAGACACAGGGAUCCUUUUGAUAUUACUGUUGAUUUUGGACUUUCAUAGAGUUG